CCUACGGGUGGCAGCAGUGAGGAAUAUUGGUCAAUGGCCGAGAGGCUGAACCAGCCAAGUCGCGUGAGGGAAGACGGCCCUACGGGUUGUAAACCUCUUUUGUCGGGGAGCAAAGCGAACCACGUGUGGUUCAUUGAGAGUACCCGAAGAAAAAGCAUCGGCUAACUCCGUGCCAGCAGCCGCGGUAAUACGGAGGAUGCGAGCGUUAUCCGGAUUUAUUGGGUUUAAAGGGUGCGUAGGCGGACGCUUAAGUCAGCGGUAAAAUUGCGGGGCUCAACCUCGUCGAGCCGUUGAAACUGGGUGCCGUGAGUGGGCGAGAAGUACGCGGAAUGCGUGGUGUAGCGGUGAAAUGCAUAGAUAUCACGCAGAACGCCGAUUGCGAAGGCAGCGUACCGGCGCCCAACUGACGCUGAAGCACGAAGGCGUGGGUAUCGAACAGGAGUAGAUACCCCUGUAGUC
rnacentral:rRNA from 1 species